UACGAAGGGGGCUAGCGUUGCUCGGAAUCACUGGGCGUAAAGCGCACGUAGGCGGAUUGUUAAGUCGGGGGUGAAAUCCUGGAGCUCAACUCCAGAACUGCCUUCGAUACUGGCGAUCUCGAGUUCGGGAGAGGUGAGUGGAACUGCGAGUGUAGAGGUGAAAUUCGUAGAUAUUCGCAAGAACACCAGUGGCGAAGGCGGCUCA
rnacentral:rRNA from 1 species